CCUCCUUUCUAAGGAAAUCGAAAAAUAUUAAAACAAUUAUUUUCGAUUUAAAAAAAACCGGUAAUGUGACCGUCCUCAUUUCUCUUCUUUUAAUGUUUCUGAGUAUAUGUAAAGGGGCCGGUAGCUCAGGUGGUUAGAGCGCACCCCUGAUAAGGGUGAGGUCGGAAGUUCGAGUCUUCCUCGGCCCACCAAUAUUAAGGGGGAUUAGCUCAGCUGGGAGAGCGCCUGAUUUGCAUACAGGAGGUCAGCGGUUCGAUCCCGCUAUCCUCCACCAACACAUAGAGACAUUUAGCUUUUUUAAAUUGUGAAUAUUAAUAUUAUCAAUAUCUAUAUCUGAUUGUUUUCAAAAAAAUAUCUGAAAACAAUCAAAACAAUAAUUUGAAUUUUACACAGAAAGUUUUUUCUGUGCAUAAAUCAAGCGUUUAAGGGCGAUUGGCGGAUGCCUUGGCACUGUAAGUCGAUGAAGGACGUGGUAUACUGCGAUAAGUUCGGGGAGUUGUAUGCAGGCUUUGAUCCGAAGAU
rnacentral:misc_RNA from 1 species